UACGUAGGGACCGAGCGUUGUCCGGAAUCAUUGGGCGUAAAGAGCUCGUAGGCGGCUUGGCAAGUCGGGUGUGAAACCUCCAGGCUCAACCUGGAGACGCCACUCGAUACUGCCAUGGCUAGAGUCCGGUAGGGGACCACGGAAUUCCUGGUGUAGCGGUGAAAUGCGCAGAUAUCAGGAGGAACACCGGUGGCGAAGGCGGUGGUCUGGGCCGGCACUGACGCUGAGGAGCGAAAGCGUGGGUAGCAAACAGG
rnacentral:rRNA from 1 species